rnacentral:misc_RNA from 1 species
UCCGGCUUAACGCCGGCAGUCUCCCUAGAGUUCCCGGCCUGACCCGUUGGCAACUAGGGGCGAGGGUUGCGCUCGUUGCGGGACUUAACCCAACAUCUCACGACACGAGCUGACGACAGCCAUGCAGCACCUGUGUCGGCUCCCCUUGCGGGGUCGGGCCCCUUUCGGUUUCCUACCACCGACAUGCCAAACCCAGGUAAGGUUUUUCGCGUUGCGUCGAAUUGAACCACAUGCUCCACCGCUUGUGCAGGCCCCCGUCAAUUCCUUUGAGUUUCAUUCUUGCGAACGUACUCCCCAGGUGGGUUACUUAUCACUUUCGCUUAGCCACUCAGUCUUACGACCAAACAGCUAGUAACCAUCGUUUACGGCGUAGACUAC